UACGGGAGGGGCUAGCGUUAUUCAGAAUAAUUGGGCGUAAAGAGUUCGUAGACGGUGUUGUAAGUUAUAUUGUUAAAGACUAAAGCCUAACUUUAAGUUUAUCAUGUAAUACUACUCCACUAGAGUUUUUCUCAGAAGAAUAGAAUUUUAGAUAUAGAGGUAGCACUUGUAGACAUCUAGAGGAAUACCAACUUUAGCGAAAGCGAUUCUUUAGUAUAAACUGACGUUGAGGGACGAAAGUAUAGGGAGCAAACAGG
rnacentral:rRNA from 1 species